GAUGAAGAACGUAGCGAAAUGCGAUACUUGGUGUGAAUUGCAGAAUCCCGUGAACCAUCGAGUCUUUGAACGCAAGUUGCGCCCGAAGCCACUAGGCCGAGGGCACGCCUGCCUGGGCGUCACACGCCGUUGCCCCCCCAUCUACUCCUUCGGGAUUGCGGGGGGGCGGAUGAUGGCCUCCCGUGCGCCUAGCCGCGCGGUUGGCAUAAAUACCAAGUCCUCGGCGACGCACGCCACGACAAUCGGUGGUUGCGAAACCUCGGUUGCCCGUCGUGUGCGUUCGUCGCGCAUCGAGGGCUCGAAAAAAUGCUCGGCUCCGGCUGGGCUUUCAACGCGACCCCCGGUCAGGCGGGGUUACCCGCUGAAUUUAAGCAUAUCAAUAAGCGGAGGA
rnacentral:misc_RNA from 1 species